rnacentral:rRNA from 1 species
UACGUAGGCAGCAAGCGUUGUUCGGAGUUACUGGGCGUAAAGGGUGUGUAGGCGGUUGUUUAAGUUUGGGGGGAAAUCUCCCGGCUCAACUGGGAGGGUGCGCCGAAUACUGAAUGACUUCGAGUGCGGGAGAGGAAAGUGGAAUUCCUGGUGUAGCGGUGAAAUGCGUAGAUAUCCGGAGGAACACCGGUGGCGAAGGCGGCUUCCUGGACCGACACUGACGCUGAGGCGCGAAAGCUAGGGGAGCAAACGGG